rnacentral:rRNA from 1 species
GACGAACGCUGGCGGCGUGCUUAACACAUGCAAGUCGAACGAUGAACCGGGUGCUUGCACUCGGGGAUUAGUGGCGAACGGGUGAGUAACACGUGAGCAACCUGCCCCUGACUCCGGGAUAAGCGCUGGAAACGGCGUCUAAUACUGGAUAUGUCCCGUCACCGCAUGGUGUGCGGGUGGAAAGAUUUUUCGGUUGGGGAUGGGCUCGCGGCCUAUCAGCUUGUUGGUGAGGUAAUGGCUCACCAAGGCGUCGACGGGUAGCCGGCCUGAGGGGGUGACCGGCCAAACUGGGACUGAGACACGGCCCAGACUCCUACGGGAGGCAGCAGUGGGGAAUAUUGCACAAUGGGCGGAAGCCUGAUGCAGCAACGCCGCGUGAGGGAUGACGGCCUUCGGGUUGUAAACCUCUUUUAGCAGGGAAGAAGCGAGAGUGACGGUACCUGCAGAAAAAGCACCGGCUAACUACGUGCCAGCAGCCGCCGUAA